GCCCUUGUGGCGCAAUCGGUAGCGCGUAAGACUUGCAAGUACCCCGAUCACGCCCUUUGCACCCAGACACCUUACUAACCAUCUUUGCAGCUACUAGAAUGAGAUCUUAAGGCUGUGGGUUCGAUCCCCACCAGGGGCU
rnacentral:tRNA from 1 species